rnacentral:rRNA from 1 species
GAUGAACGCUGGCGGCGUGCCUAAUACAUGCAAGUCGAGCGAACAGACGAUGAUCUUGCUCCUCUGACGUUAGCGGCGGACGGGUGAGUAACACGUGGAUACCCUACCUAUCAGACUGGGAUAACUUCGAGAAACCGGAGCUAAUACCGUAUAAUCUCUUGAACCGCAUUGUUCAAUAGUGAAAGACGGUUUUGCUGUCACUUAUCGCUGGAUCCGCGCCGUAUUAGCUAGUUGGUAAGGUAACGGCUUACCAAGGCAACUAUGCGUAACCGAACUGAGAGGGUGAUAGGCGACAUGGGAGCGGAGACACGGACAAGAGGACUGAGGGAGGCAGCAGAAGGGAAUGGGAAGCAAUGGGCGAAAGCAUGACGGAGUAAGGCGGAGUGAGAGAUGAAGGUCUUCGGAGCGUAAAACCCGGUUAUGAGGGAAGAACAAAUGUGUAAGUAAAUAUGGACGGAGUGACGGUACCGAAUAAGAAAGCAACGGCUAACUACGUG